rnacentral:rRNA from 1 species
GAUUGUAGUCUGCAACCCGACUACAUGAAGCCGGAAUCGCUAGUAAUCGCGGAUCAGAAUGCCGCGGUGAAUACGUUCCCGGGUCUUGUACACACCGCCCGUCACACCAUGGGAGUCGGAAAUGCCCGAAGCCGGUGACCCAACCCGAAAGGGAGGAGCUGCCGAAGGUGGAGCCGGUAACUGGGGUGAAGUCGUAACAAGGUACC